UGGAUCCAGAACUUUGAUCAUGGCUCAGGAUGAACGCUAGCUACAGGCUUAACACAUGCAAGUCGAGGGGAAACGACAUCGAAAGCUUGCUUUUGAUGGGCGUCGACCGGCGCACGGGUGAGUAACGCGUAUCCAACCUGCCCACCACUUGGGGAUAACCUUGCGAAAGUAAGACUAAUACCCAAUGACGUCUCUAGAAGACAUCUGAAAGAGAUUAAAGAUUUAUCGGUGAUGGAUGGGGAUGCGUCUGAUUAGCUUGUUGGCGGGGUAACGGCCCACCAAGGCUACGAUCAGUAGGGGUUCUGAGAGGAAGGUCCCCCACAUUGGAACUGAGACACGGUCCAAACUCCUACGGGAGGCAGCAGUGAGGAAUAUUGGUCAAUGGACGAGAGUCUGAACCAGCCAAGUAGCGUGCAGGAUGACGGCCCUAUGGGUUGUAAACUGCUUUUAUAAGGGAAUAAAGUGAGUCUCGUGAGACUUUUUGCAUGUACCUUAUGAAUAAGGACCGGCUAAUUCCGUGCCAGCAGCCGCGGUAAUACGGAAGGUCCGGGCGUUAUCCGGAUUUAUUGGGUUUAAAGGGAGCGUAGGCCGGAGAUUAAGCGUGUUGUGAAAUGUAGACGCUCAACGUCUGCACUGCAGCGCGAACUGGUUUCCUUGAGUACGCACAAAGUGGGCGGAAUUCGUGGUGUAGCGGUGAAAUGCUUAGAUAUCACGAAGAACUCCGAUUGCGAAGGCAGCUCACUGGAGCGCAACUGACGCUGAAGCUCGAAAGUGCGGGUAUCGAACAGGAUUAGAUACCCUGGUAGUCCGCACGGUAAACGAUGGAUGCCCGCUGUUGGUCUGAAUAGGUCAGCGGCCUAGCGAAAGCAUUAAGCAUCCCACCUGGGGAGUACGCCGGCAACGGUG
rnacentral:rRNA from 2 species